rnacentral:lncRNA from 1 species
UACAUCAAGUUUCAGUUUCCAUCAUUCUCUCCCAAGUCUCUUCCAAACUAAACUCUUCAUUUCCUUCAGGUAAACCUCAUAUAUGACAUCAAAUAUAUGAGUGAAAUGAAGAGAAGAAGAGAAGAGAGAGCUCUCAGCAUAUAACCUCAAUAUCUUCAGUGAAAUAUGAUAUGAGGUCUCAUGGAGAAGUUGAAGGAAAGGGGUGCAGUGGAAGAUCUGAUGAGAGAUCAGAAAAGUUGGAACAUCCCUAUGUUGAGGAAACUGAGACUGAGAGAAGGGAAGUUCAGCUAGCUCGUAUAUGAGAUGCAGCCCUAAGGAGGAAGAGCAUCGGAUCACAUUCUUCAAGGAUGUUUAGGGUGGUAGAAAGUAGUCAGAGAGGUGGCUGGUGACUAGUCUGAGUCCUGUGAGAGCAGCUGCGUAGGAGGAGAGAGAUUGUUUGUAGCUACUUCUGAGGAGGUUCUCAUUGGACUAGAUAGAUGGGUUCUGAGAUUGGGAGUGACUAAGAGUCAGUGAAGGUGAGGGGAGAGACUGAGGACUGAUGAUCCCAAUCAAUCCUAUGCGUAGGAGGGAUUUUCAGGAUCUAGGAAAGCAGCCUUUCAGAAACUGUUUCUUUGUCCUCUUAGAGGACAUGAGAAGAUGAAAGUGAUGGUGAGAUUGUAGAGGAGAGUGGGAACCCUCAGCCAUAAGGAGACUCACCACCUCCUUCCUUUCUAUAGGUAUCCUAUAAUUUGCACAAAGACAGCACUCAUGCCUUUAAGAAAGGGGGAAAAACCCCUUUUAUAAUGGAAAUGAUUUUUAGAUAGCUAAACUCACCUCCAGGUCCUAUUUCAGAAGAGCAUGCCUGAAGGGCUGAGUUGGCAUAGGGCACCCGCCACUCUCUAAUGUUGAUCUUUCUGGCCUGGUUCCCUCUUGUUACAUGUUAGAAAAGCCUUUGAAGGGUGAAAGUUGGAGUAUGGAUAAUGCCCAACUUAACUUGCCCUAGGGAUGCAGUGAACAGCUUCAAAUUACCAAGAACGUUCUCAAGAAAUUACCAAGAAUAAUAUUUCUUCCUUAGCAGUUGAGAGAAAUGAAAUUGGAAAUUAA